GGAAGUCGCUGGGCAGCCCGGACGGGCGCGGCUCGGUCAGCGAGCGGCGUCCCUGACUGGCAACUCGUCUGUCCUUCCCUGACCCUGGAAGGUAUUUCGGUGCUUGCCUUGGACGGCCCCGAGGUGAGCGUGACCUUCUGGCCGCGGCAGACCGACCUCGCCAAACCUGGGGCAGCCCCAACAGGGGAACCGGAGACUUUGAAGAGUGAGCACCGGCACAGAUCUGGGGCCCUCGUCUGCUGUCCCGAAAUCAGCCGACUGUCACCUGGGCCACUCGUACCGCGACUGCCAGAAUGGCAGGCUAUUCGGAAAGUAUGCCUGGCAUCUUUGCAAGGGUGGGGCGGCACAAAGACAGACCAGGACUUACAUCCUUCGAGGAGAGAACCACUCCUUGAAGUUCACACACACUGAAAG
rnacentral:lncRNA from 1 species